AUACUUACCUUCUCGUAAAAGGCUUCGAUCAAGCAUGAGGUCUUUUAGAGGGUGGAAUCUGCAUUGCACAGCGUGGUAUUCCGCCUUCUCUACUAUCCUUCGGGGUCGUAGAUGGGGCAAUUUUUGAUUUAACACUCUUUUCAUUGUGUA
rnacentral:snRNA from 17 species